CACUUGUGUCUUAAACCAAUCCUGAAUGUGGAUAAAAUCCUUAGAAGUUCAAGUAAAAUUGUAUGUUUGAACUUAUUUUUGCAGUGACACACUUUCAGGACACAAGAUUAAGAUGAGCUAGAGAGCAGACAGCAAUGAAUCUUCCCUCGAUAACCAGACUGGAGCUUAGAUGUUUUGUGUGAGCUGAUCCCUCCCAGCGUGUUCAGAGUGAAAGUGGGCUCCGUGCAUUUGUUACCAGGCGGCGUGUUAUACCAGCGCAGAAAGAAAUGCUGUGCAACUGAGGUGCGAGAAAUACCUCAGGAGGCUGAAAAAGAUUAAUGAGCAGCAGCUGUGAUGCCGCGCAGCAAUAUCAGCUCCCGGUGAAGGGAGGGGAGUUGAGGAUUUCAUGGUCAUCGCGUCACCUCACAAGGUGGCCGUGCCACUGGGAGGACGCCAUCUGACACUCGGUGGGGUGACAAGCGUCCUCCUCAAUGUCAGAUGUCCGUGCCGCCACUUCUUGCCUCGCCACGUAGGGUCGUGCUCGGUUUGAUCAGCUUUUUGAGGCAGCUUAAUCUUGUCAGGCUUGACAAUGAAGGCUGAGCUCUUCUGUUCUUCUUAGCGGAGAAAUCAGCCUACAGCUUGCCCUAUUCAAAUCGGCCCCGAGAUCCCCGCAGAAUCCAUAAUCAUUUCUACGAGGGAUUUAUGGAUGUAUCAAACAUCCUGAAGUUAAAGCACUGAUCUGCAUUCAUUCCCGACGUAAGUCUCACUGAAUACUUAAUGGCCUUGCUAAAUUCUGAAGUCGCCCCCUCCCGCUGCACUUCAACUACGCUUAAGAUAUGCAAAAGGCGGGUAGAAAAGAGAGAGAAGUCAUCUUUUCUGCUUGGGUGAAAAGAGAUGAAGAGACAAGUGUCUCUUAGUGCUCUCAGGGUCGGCUGGAGCAAAGAAAAGGAGAGGAGAGGUGCGACGGUGAAGGAGAAAGCAGAGAGGAAGAAGAACGUCUGUAAAGGAAGGAGAUGCUGCACAUGUGGGAGGAUGAGUGAGCAGAGUACAGCGUGGAUACUCUGCCUCCCAGAUGUUUGGCCUCUUUGAUGGAGAAGAAAUCAAAUGCAUUCUUCUUGUGUCUUAGAAAUGUAAAGAGCAUCACUCUUCAGGGCCACAAUCUGGAGCCUCCGACGCUUCUGCAUAUUUAGCUGCUUUUGUGAUUUACAAGGAUUAGUUGUUCUCAGUAUGAACGAUGUUACCAUAAUAAGAGCACAAAUGGUAACUCGCGCUAAUCGCUACAGGUGAUGUCAGCUUUGCAAUUGAGUUGUAGUUUGUCAUCGAAUUACAACUAAUCUCAAGGUAAUUUACAAGGCAAAGGUCCCGUUUAUUUAUAUUGAUCCAAAUGAUCUAAAAUCAAUAAAAUAUUCUCAGCAAAUCACUCUAAAUACAGGUCUAAUUUGAUGGAUUUUGUUUCCCUGUGAUUGUGUCGUUUAUGCAGGAAUUUUAAUCCUAAAUGUAUCAGCUAAUAAUACUUUAAAACCACUAAAAGUAAAUAUUUCUGGGAUUUCUUGGUUUCUUUUUUAACCUCAUAAGAGCGCUAA